UACGAAGGGUGCGAGCGUUAAUCGGAAUUACUGGGCGUAAAGUGUGCGCAGGCGGCAAAGCAAGUCGAGUGUGAAAGCCCCGGGCUUAACUUGGGAAUUGCGCUCGAAACUACUUUGCUGGAGUGUGGCAGAGGAAGGUGGAAUUCCACGUGUAGCGGUGAAAUGCGUAGAGAUGUGGAGGAACACCAAUGGCGAAGGCAGCCUUCUGGGCCAACACUGACGCUCAUGCACGAAAGCGUGGGGAGCGAACAGG
rnacentral:rRNA from 1 species